UCCGACUGUUUGCCAAAAACAUAACCUUUAGCCUAACCAAUAUUAAAGGCAACGCCUGCCCGGUGAACAAUUAAACGGCCGCGGUACCCUAACCGUGCAAAGGUAGCAUAAUCAUUUGUUUACUAAUUAUAGACCUGUAUGAAAGGCAAAAUGAGGGCCUAGCUGUCUCUUAUAAUAAAUCAAUUAAAUUGAUCUCCUAGUAAAAAAGCUAGAAUUAAACCAUAAGACCAGAAGACCCUGUGAAGCUUUAACUAAACUAUUAAACCCCCUAAUAGCUACUUUCGGUUGGGGCGACCUUGGAAAAAAAAAGAACUUCCAACAAUACGACCUAACUCGUACUACCAAAUCAGGCCUACAAGCCACAUACGACCCAGCAAAGCUGAUAAUCGAACCAAGUUACUCCAGGGAUAACAGCGCAAUCCUCUUCAAGAGCCCAUAUCAAAAAGAGGGUUUACGACCUCGAUGUUGGAUCAGGACAUCCUAAUGGUGCAGAAGCUAUUAAGGGUUCGUUUGUUCAACGAUCAAUAGUCCUACGUGAUCUGAGUUC
rnacentral:rRNA from 1 species